UACCCCUCCUUUUCUAGGAAGGAACUCAUUUAAUCGUUAGUACCAAUUUUACCCCUUUAUAUACAGUAAAAUGAUGUUGGUUUCUUCCGAAUGAAUAUCAGAUCUCUUUUUUAUCUCUCUCUUUCCUCCUCCCUCAAAAACAACCACCACCACCAUAUUUAUUGUCGUUGUCAUCACAUCACAAUUUGAGCACCACUUUUACUCCACUACCACCUCUAUUUCCAUCGAUCUAACUACCAGUUCCAACACCACCUCAAAAUUAAAGUGAAAAAAUACCUUCGUUGAAGAACAGAAGCAAAGAGAUCUUUGCCGAAACUUCAUCAGCAGCAGAAAAUGAAGGUUUAUUUCGGUGUUUACAAUGUCGAGGUUAUUGAUUCAUCAACGUGAUUAUUGCUUGUUUCAGGUUUUCAUUUUGAUUUUUUGUUCGAACUUUGGUGUAUACUCUAGAUGAUAAGUACUAUAUUUUGUUGGUUUUUCUGUUAUUUCGUGUUCAAAUUUGACUUAGAUGUGUUUAUAUUCAUAUUUAUUAUUUUGUUGAUUUAUCAUUAACAAGAAA